GGGCCCUUCGGGAGGGCCCCCCCUCAAUCCUGUCGUGCUUACGUCAGAGGGUUGGGUGGAGGCUCUCCUGAAGGCCUC
ensembl:miRNA